UAUUGCACAAUGGACGCAAGUCUGAUGCAGCGACGCCGUGUGGGGGAUGACGGCCUUCGGGUUGUAAACCUCUUUCGUCAAGGACGAAGGGGCCGUGAGGUCUUGACGGUACUUGGAGAAGAAGCGCCGGCCAACUACGUGCCAGCAGCCGCGGUAAGACGUAGGGCGCGAGCGUUGUCCGGAUUUAUUGGGCGUAAAGAGCUCGUAGGCGGCUCAUUGCGUCAACCGUGAAAACUUGUGGCUCAACUACAAGCUUGCGGUUGAUACGGGUGGGCUGGAGUUCGGUAGGGGAGACUGGAAUUCCUGGUGUAGCGGUGAAAUGCGCAGAUAUCAGGAGGAACACCGGUGGCGAAGGCGGGUCUCUGGGCCGAUACUGACGCUGAGGAGCGAAAGCGUGGGGAGCGAAC
rnacentral:rRNA from 1 species